ACAAUUAUAAGUUAAUGGGUAAACUAUUCGUUUACCAAACGAAAUUUGUCAGUUCGAUUCUGACUGAUUGUA
rnacentral:tRNA from 1 species